rnacentral:rRNA from 1 species
GAUGAACGCUGGCGGCGUGCCUAAUACAUGCAAGUCGAGCGAACGGACGAGAAGCUUGCUUCUCUGAUGUUAGCGGCGGACGGGUGAGUAACACGUGGAUAACCUACCUAUAAGACUGGGAUAACUUCGGGAAACCGUAGCUAAUACCGGCUAAUAUUUUUAACCGCAUGGUUCAAAAGUGAAAGACGGUCUUGCUGUCACUUAUAGAUGGAUCCGCGCUGCAUUAGCUAGUUGGUAAGGUAACGACUUACCAAGGCAACGAUGCAUAGCCGACCUGAGAGGGUGAUCGGCCACACUGGAAGUGAGACACGGUCCAGACUCCUACGGGAGGCAGCAGUAGGGAAUCUUCCGCAAUGGGCGAAAGCCUGACGGAGCAACGCCGCGUGAGUGAUGAAGGUCUUCGGAUCGUAAAACUCUGUUAUUAGGGAAGAACAUAUGUGUAAGUAACUGUGCACAUCUUGACGGUACCUAAUCAGAAAGCCACGGCUAACUACGUG